rnacentral:lncRNA from 1 species
UUACACAAACACAGACUCAUUCUCUCUACUGAACUACAAUCAGAUUUCAGCAUUCAAUCUUUCUUCUUCUCAAAUAAUACCAAUCACAUUUCUAUUCCAUAAUUUACUUCACAAUAUUUAGAAACUCUCAAUCCUCUUAUUCAAAGAAAAUAACAAAUAAAAGAAAAGAGGUAGCACUAAGCUUACCUCGGCUCACAACUAUCAGAGCGAUCGCAUCUUAAUUAACUUCUACAACUCCUAUAUACUUUUCCUUGAUUCUCCAGAUUCUAACUGUAAUUCUAUAAUAAAUCACUUUUAAUAACUAAAUCACUCAUCCGUCCUCUUGAAUUUCCUAUUAUAUAGACUAUUAAUAUAUUUAACCAAUAUCUUUCAAAAACAAAUUAAUAUCUAUUCUACAUAUGUCAAUGAUAUAUAAGAAAUAAUCUUCUUAUGAAUCUACCUCUUAAAGUAUCAUUGCCAUUAAUGUCUUUUGAAAAAUAGGGAAUUGAUUAUAUUAGAAAAAUUUAUCCUAAUUCUUUUAGUAGUAAAAAAAUAUACCAUUAUAGCUACAAAAUAUUUGACCAAAUAGGCUAAGACCAAGGCAGUAACAACAAAUGAUGCUAAAACUACAACUAACUUCUUGUUUGAAUAAAUCAUCAUUCAAUUUGGUUGCCCUAAAAUAUUGAUUAGCAAUAAAGAUUAACACUUUUUGAAAAAAGUAAUGGAGGGAGUUAUAAAACGAUUCGCAAUUAACAAUCAUAAGACAACAUCCUAACACCCUCAAAUCAAUGGCCAUAUUGAAAGAGUAAAUCAAAUUCUUAUGAAUAUCUUAUAAAAAAUCAUAGUGGAUUCAAAAUGAGAUUGAA